rnacentral:lncRNA from 1 species
UUACAACCAUAAUAAAAUUUAAUUAAUUAAUUGAAUCAUAUGGUAGGCAAUUAAUUUAUGUUGAUUUAGAUGUUGUCAAUUUUCUUGUUAAUUAAACAAAUCCAAUAGUAAAAUGCCGCCCAAACAUCGAACUCUAUAUAAACGCGUCAAACUGCGUUUUUUCUCUUCUUUCUUUUUCAACAAAUAACAACAUUCAAUUCUUCUUCAUCCUUAUCUUCAAUUUCAUGCUUCUCAUGUUUAACCUCUCAUUUCUUAAUUGAGUUGCUGCUCAAUCAAAGGUAUGAUAUGAGAGUUUUCAUCUUUGUUGCGUUGUUUGUGAUUUUUCUUUAAUUCUAUUGUAUUGUAUCAGAUCAUUUGGUUUUGGUAUUUGUAUUCCAAGUUUGAAUAUUUUGUUUUGUUUUGCUUUGAAUUUUUAUUUUUUGUUCAAUUGGUAUUAGUAUUAUUAUGACUUUGUUUUAAAAAUUAGGUUGAUUUUUUUGGGUUUCAAUUAUGGUUCAUGUUGUUGUUUUUGCUAGAGUUGAAUUGAAAGAUGCAACAAUACUUGAUGUAUCUUAUUACACAAUCACGUUAUGGGGGUAUGGAUUAGUUUGUGCAUGUUGUCCUUUUUAUAACAUAGAGAUUCGGAUUCGAGUUAGUUGAUGAUGAUCCAGGUAAUAAUAAAGCUGGAGAAGUUUGUUUUGAUUUUCCUUGGACAGUUGAUGCAAAUCUUAGUAGGAAGACUAUGACCUGUUUGGAUUAAGUUAUCGGCUAUUUUUUUUUUUUUUACCAAAAAGCCUUUUUUUC